GACGAACGCUGGCGGCGUGCUUAACACAUGCAAGUCGAACGGAAAGGCCCUGCUUUUGUGGGGUGCUCGAGUGGCGAACGGGUGAGUAACACGUGAGUAACCUGCCCUUUACUUUGGGAUAACUUCAGGAAACUGGGGCUAAUACCGGAUAUGAGCUCCUGCUGCAUGGUGGGGGUUGGAAAGUUUCGGCGGUUGGGGAUGGACUCGCGGCUUAUCAGCUUGUUGGUUGAGUAUUGGCUUACCAAGGCUUUGACGGGUAGCCGGCCUGUGAGGGUGAACGGCCAAAUUGGGACUGAGAUACGGCGCAGACUGCUACGGGAGGCAGCAGUGGGGAAUAUUGCACAAUGGGCGGAAGCGUGAUGCAGAAACGCGGCGUGCGGGAUGACGGCCUUCGGGUUGUAAACCGCUUUCGCCUGUGACGAAGCGGGAGUGACGGUAAUGGGUAAAGAAGCACCGGCUAACUACGUG
rnacentral:rRNA from 1 species